UAAAAUAUUUAUUUUUACAUAAUAAAAAUUAAAAUUAAUUAUAAAUGUAAUAAAAUAUUUAACUUAGUAUUUCAAAGACCAUCCAUGCACCACGUUGGAGUUGGUUUUUCUUAGCUCUACUCUUUUAGGACAAUGACACAAAAAGAGAAUACCCACAUGAAGAGGUUCUUAGCUAGGUACAUGGGGAAGGGUUAGCAAAUUAUCCAUUAGUUGCUACAUGAGGAAUGCACUACAAAAAUUUGAGGCUUCAUAUUGAGCCCUAGGCGUUUGGUUGGAGGAGCAAUUCCUUCUCCACGGCCCUCACUUCAUCUAAUAUGUAAACCUUUUUGAAUUUGCCCAAAAAUGUUGGAUUUGUACGUACGAUGAUUAAAGGGUGCAAGGCUCCAUAAACUCAAUUUUACCAUAUCUUCCUCUUUCGUGAAAGCAUACAUACAUACAUACACACACACAGUAGCACAUAAGCAAAUUGAUUAAGGAGAAGAUGGAUGUUUAAACCUGAAGUAGUAAAGAAAACAUGGUGCCCAAUGAGCCCUCCAGGACCGGAUUUCUCUCGCUCUUGUCAGUUGUCAUCGAAUCACCUUCUCCAAUUCAAACGCCUAGGGCUGUGGAGAAGGAAUUGCUCCUCCCAAACAAACGCCUAGGGCUCAAUCUGAAGCCUCAAAUUCUUGUGGUGCAUUCCUCCUAUAGCAACUAACGGAUAAUUUGGUAAUCAAGAAUAUUGACAUUCCACAAUAACAAGUCACACAAUGGCAACCAAUCAAUGCCACCAAAUACAGUCAAAUCAUCCGGCUGUCCUUCAGGCACCUGCUAAUCUCUAAUGGGUCAAAGAAGCCUAAGUAUGAAGACUCAGACAUGAAGAGGAGAAACUUGAUCACUUUCCAUGGUAGAUUGCAGGGAGGUUAGAAAAUUAGUCAUACCUCGAAUUUUGAAUCAAAAGCUAGAGAAGAAAAUAAGAAAGAUGCAUGCAUUAAUUCUCAGCAGAUGGCCUGAAAUUAAAAGGACUGCCUAGUUUUGUUAUGUUAAGCUACACAUGGAAGAUUAAUGCCAACGAGGUAUUGAAUGUGGGGUGCAUGUACAAUUCGUGACCUUAUGACUAAUUUAUCAAUGUAUCACGUACCAGGGCUGCUUAAGUUUGUAUCCAGGCCUAUGGGUCUUGGAAAUAUUUUAUUAAGAGAUAAGUUGGCCAUUAUUAAUACUCAUAAUGGAAAAUUUUUGGUAAAAA